UUCCUCCUGCUAGAACAGAGAGACAAGUUCUUCUCCACUCUUUUAUCUCUACUAUUUCCAUGUCAUCAGCGAAUGAUACUCCGGUUUGGGCAAUUGAUGGUAGGCCUUACUUCUCUUUCUCUUCUAAAUCUGUAUGGAAUGCUAUUAGGAUUUCAAAUCAAGUUCAAUCUUGGGUUCCUCUUGUAUGGCACAAAGCAGUCAUUCCACGUCAUGCUAUCACAUCCUGGCUUUUUAUACUCAAUCGUAACCCUACUCUAGAUCGUUUAUCUACAUGGGGUUUUGAUAUUGAGUUGGACUGUCUUUUGUGUGGCUUUGUCAGGGCAUGAAGUGAUGCUAGCAGACUGAAGCUUGGUGCUGAGGUAAGAGAUUAGUUGUUGGAUGUGAUCUUUAGACAUUAUUUCAUCCUGCAUAACCGGUGCUUGAUUUUCAGACUGAUCGAUGCUUGUUAGAUUUGUACUGCCUACACAAGAACUCUGUUGAUUUGCCCUUGGAUGUCCCGGAGGAUAGCCAUGAACUUUGUAACACUUGUCAACAGUGUGACCAAU
rnacentral:lncRNA from 1 species